rnacentral:sRNA from 1 species
AAUACUGACUCUGCUUAGCCUGUGAGCGCUCAGAUAUAGCCCAAGGGACCUGUGAGCCUCCCUUGGCUUCUGAGCCUGAAGGAUACUGCUAUCAGGGGAAGACUUCACCUACCCUUACCCCUGGCUUCCUAAGGUGCAGCCAGAAGUGGAGGAGCUGGAGCCAGCACCAACCGGGCCAGGGCAGCAGGUGGCAGAUAAGCAUGAGCUAGGACGACUGCAGUACUCCCUGGAUUAUGACUUCCAGAGUGGCCAGCUGCUGGUGGGCAUUCUGCAAGCAAUGGGAUUGGCAGCCUUGGAUCUUGGUGGCUCCUCGGACCCCUAUGUGCGGGUCUACCUGCUGCCAGACAAACGGAGGCGGUACGAGACCAAGGUGCAUCGGCAGACGCUGAACCCUCACUUUGGGGAGACUUUCGCCUUCAAGGUCCCCUACGUGGAGCUGGGGGGCAGGGUGCUGGUCAUGGCGGUGUACGACUUCGACCGCUUCUCUCGCAAUGACGCCAUCGGGGAGGUGCGGGUCCCCAUGAGCUCCGUGGACCUGGGGCGGCCAGUGCAGGCCUGGCGGGAGCUGCAGGCGGCUCCGCGGGAGGAGCAGGAGAAGCUUGGUGACAUCUGCUUCUCCCUCCGCUAUGUCCCCACGGCCGGGAAGCUCACCGUCAUUGUCCUGGAGGCUAAAAACCUGAAGAAGAUGGACGUAGGAGGACUGUCAGAUCCAUACGUCAAGGUCCACCUGCUGCAGGGCGGCAAAAAGGUGAGGAAGAAGAAAACCACCAUCAAGAAGAACACUCUGAACCCCUAUUACAACGAAGCUUUCAGCUUCGAGGUGCCCUGUGACCAAGUCCAGAAGGUGCAGGUGGAGCUGACCGUGCUGGACUACGACAAGCUGGGCAAGAACGAGGCCAUCGGGAGGGUGGCCGUGGGGGCGGCUGCCGGC